rnacentral:rRNA from 1 species
ACCCUUUAAUGUUUGAUGUUCUAACGUGGACCCGUGAUCCGGGUUGCGGACAGUGUCUGGUGGGUAGUUUGACUGGGGCGGUCUCCUCCUAAAGAGUAACGGAGGAGCACGAAGGUUGGCUAAUCCUGGUCGGACAUCAGGAGGUUAGUGCAAUGGCAUAAGCCAGCUUGACUGCGAGCGUGACGGCGCGAGCAGGUGCGAAAGCAGGUCAUAGUGAUCCGGUGGUUCUGAAUGGAAGGGCCAUCGCUCAACGGAUAAAAGGUACUCCGGGGAUAACAGGCUGAUACCGCCCAAGAGUUCAUAUCGACGGCGGUGUUUGGCACCUCGAUGUCGGCUCAUCACAUCCUGGGGCUGAAGUAGGUCCCAAGGGUAUGGCUGUUCGCCAUUUAAAGUGGUACGCGAGCUGGGUUUAGAACGUCGUGAGACAGUU